UUGGGUUAAGUCCGCAACGAGCGCAACCCUUGAUCUUAGUUGCCAGCAUUCAGUUGGGCACUCUAAGGUGACUGCCGGUGACAAACCGGAGGAAGGUGGGGAUGACGUCAAAUCAUCAUGCCCCUUAUGACCUGGGCUACACACGUGCUACAAUGGACAGAACAAAGGGCAGCGAAACCGCGAGGUUAAGCCAAUCCCACAAAUCUGUUCUCAGUUCGGAUCGCAGUCUGCAACUCGACUGCGUGAAGCUGGAAUCGCUAGUAAUCGCGGAUCAGCAUGCCGCGGUGAAUACGUUCCCGGGCCUUGUACACACCGCCCGU
rnacentral:rRNA from 1 species